CACUGAUGAGGAGUCCCACAAUAGGACGAAACAGCUGUCCAGUGG
rnacentral:hammerhead_ribozyme from 1 species